CCAUUUGCUAUUUCAACCAUCGAAACCUACAUCUUUCUCCUGACUCUCUUUCUUAUUUGUCCUUACUCUAUUAGUCAAACCUACCAUCCCACUUCUUCCUCGAUCCCUUUCACCUGCUGUCCUUGCCCUCUAACCUUACUUUCUUGUUCAUUGAGCUACCACUUGCCCCAACUCUAGUAUGGCCUCUCUCUCAUGUGCUAAUGUCCUUUCAAUGCCCUUUCUGACCUUCUUCCUUUCGAUGCCCUUUCUGACCUUCUUCCUUUCGAUGCCCUUUCUGACCUUCUUGCAUUGGGAAGAGAACAUAUUGAAAAUGGAGAAUGGACAGGGGACCGUUAGAUAGGGUCGUGGUGGAUGAAAUAUUGCAAGAGAAGUUUAUGACACUCAGAUAAUGGGAAGGUAGCCAACAAAAGUACUGUCAUUUAAGCAGUUGGGACAGAAACAUUGUUGUGGCAUCCAUGUAGGUGGAGUGAAUGAGAGUAGUAGUAUCAUAUACUCACUAUAGGUGGGAUGAGAUUUCAUUCUAGGAAUGGGAUGGAGAAAACAAAAAAUAGGACUUCUCAAGAUAUUUCUGAUACAAAUUUAGCUCUUCCAAACAUUAAUAGGCUUUUGGUACUUGGAUACAAAGCAUAAUACAAUGCAGUGUCUUAUUUCUUAUUUCAAAUUAUCAUGUGUCUUUUCCAUUUGACAUCCCUUCACUAGGAAGAGGUCCAGACCACCUUAUCUCCCCCACAACCAGUCAACCACCCAAAAGAGAAAAAACAGAGAGACACAUAUGUAUUUGCUUAUAUGCAUGCAUUUGAAGGCAUGUGUAGCCAGUAUACCUUGUAAUAGAGAUCCAAGUUGCGGGUCUUUUGGAGCAUUGCAUGUUUAACACCAUCCCUGAA
rnacentral:lncRNA from 1 species